UACGGGGGGAGCAAGCGUUGUUCGGAUUUACUGGGCGUAAAGGGCGCGUAGGCGGUCAGCACAAGUCAGUUGUGAAAUCUCCGGGCUUAACUCGGAAAGGUCAACUGAUACUGUGCGACUAGAGUGCGGAAGGGGCAACUGGAAUUCUCGGUGUAGCGGUGAAAUGCGUAGAUAUCGAGAGGAACACCUGCGGCGAAGGCGGGUUGCUGGGCCGACACUGACACUGAGAGACGAAAGCUAGGGGAGCGAAUGGG
rnacentral:rRNA from 1 species